UCAGGCCCGAGUUCGAGCAUCUGCGUGCUAGUAUUCUUAACAGGGAAAAACUCAGGCCCAAGUAUCUCGCUAUACAUGGAUUUUUUUCUUGAAAAACAAAAAAGGCACCAAAUAUUGUAAAAAAGUUUUAUAACCUUAUAGAAACCCAAUUUGAGAAAAAGAUCAAGAUUUUUCGUUCAGAUUCAGGAAGGGAAUAUGUAAAUACAAACCUAACUAUCUUUUUUUUAGGAAAAAGGCAUAAUUCAUCAGCAUUCUUGUCCGUAUACACCGGAACAAAAUGGUGUGGUGGAACGUAAGAAUAGACAUGUUGUUGUAACUGCCUUAGCCCUUCUUGAUACUUCAAAUGUUCCAAAAAUAUUUUGGGUUGAAGCAAUCCAAACAUCUAUUUAUCUCAUAAAUACACAAUCAUCCUCGAUAAUGAAACAAAAUUGUCCUUAUUUUAUUAUUUUCAAAAAAUUGUCGGACUAUUCACAUCUUAAAGUAUUUGGUUGUGUGUGCUUUGUUCUUCUUCCGGAUCAUGAACGUCAUAAAUUAUCUUCCAAAGCCAUUAAAUGUGUUUUCUUAGAAUACAAUGAUAUUCAAAAGGGUAUUUAUGUUAUGAUUCAACACGUCGUUCUUAUGAAUCUCACGACAUGUUAUCUUCUUUGAGAAUUUUUGUAUUUAUACUAACAAAGACUCACAAAUCUCUACUGUCUUUCUUGAAUAAAUUUUCUUCUCAUGAUGUUGCUUGCCAUAGCCACCUUCCUGCUGGUCCUUCGUUGACCAUUCUCUCUACCAAAUCAGGUACCACUUAUAACUUUGAUCUUUUUUAUUUUUGAUACUGAUACGACUUCGGCUAAUACUAAAUUUUUACCUCACCCACAUACAAACAAUCACCUUCUCCCACUCGUCAAAAUAACAUUGAUCCAAUUAGACGAUCAUCUCGGCAUGCUCCCCUCCAGAACGACGAUAUGGGUACUCAACAGGCUAGUGGUGAGAAAUGUUUGGAGGAUGCAAUGCAUGAAGAAUUAGUUGCCCUUGAGGAGAAUGAUACAUAGGAUAUGGUGGAUAGACCAACAAAUGCAAUAGUUAUUGGAAGUAGAUGGGUGUACUCAAUCAAGAUGAAAGAUGAUGGUUCCAUAGAUCGAUACAAAUCAAGAUUAGUAGAUCAAGGAUACAAGGAGGAAUAUGGAAUCGACUCUGAUGAAACAUUUGCUACAGUAGCUAAGAUAAUGACCGUACAUAUAUUGCUUGCCUUAGCAUCAAUCAAAGGUUGGAAGUUACAUCAACUGGACAUCAAGAAUGCCUUCCUGCAUGGAAACUUGCAAGAAGUGGUCUACAUGAAUCCACUACCAAGUUAUGAAUAUAUUAAACUAAAUCAGGUGUGUCGUCUUAAAAAAUCUCUCUAUGGAUUAAAGCAGGCUCUUCGCUCUUGGUUUGAAAAAUUCUGACUACCUCAGGUAUUACUAUUCUCCUUCUUUAUGUGGAUGACAUGAUUACCACAGGAAACGACGAAGUUGGAAUCUCUCAUUUGAAAGAUUUGUUACACUCCUCGUUCAAAAUGAAGGACUUGGGGAAGCUAACAUAUUUUUUGGGUUUGGAGGUAAGUUAUGGAAAGGAAGGCAUACGAUUAAGUCAACAAAAGUAUGCAGAAGAUCUCGUUCGAUUAGCCAAUCUUAUUGAUCGUAAGAAGGUUCAUACUCUAGUGGAAGCGAAUACGAAAUAUAAAAAGGAGAAAGGAAAGCUUUCCAGAUAUCAGACCUUGUAUAGACGUCUAGUUAGAUCACUUAUAUAUUUUUUACUAUGAGUCGUCCUAACAUCUUUUAUACAGUACAGGUGUUAAGCCAAUUUAUUACCGAGCCUUACAAGAUGCACUACACUGCUUUGCUCGGGGUUAUUAGAUACAUAAAAUGUACUGUGAAUCGGAGUCUCUUAUUCCCAUCAUCAUCAUCGUUGGACAUGGUGGGAUACGCUGACGCAAAUUGGGCAGGAUGCCCUAAUUCAAGACGAUCCACUACAGGCUGGUGCAUGAUGCUUGGAUCGUGCAUGAUUUCUUGGAAGUGCAAGAAACAAUCUCAAAAAUCAAAGUCAUCCACAGAGGCAGAAUAUAGAAGUAUGUUUGCUGCAUGCUCUGAAAUCAUUUGGCUGCGGAGGUUGCUAUCAGAACUUGGCAUCGAAAUGAAAGUAUCAAUCACAUUAUACGGAGACAACACUAGUGCAAUAAGAAUCGCGACAAACCCCGUUCAUCAUGAAAACACCAAGCACAUCGAUGUAGAUUGUCACUACAUUAGAGAACUGGUUGAAGAUCAGAGUAUUAGCCUGAAGUAUAUAUCCUCUAAUGAUCAACUGGCUGACUAUUUACAAAGGUUAUAUCAAGAAGUAGACACAAAUAUUUGCUAUCCAAACUCAUGUUUUGUGAUACACAACAUUAGUUUGAGGGAGGGUGUUGAUUAUACCUUAUUUAUCGAUACUAAAUCAGGGAUCUCUCAUUAUGGCUAAUGGUAAUUAGCUUGAAAUCAGUAGAUAAUUAGGACUCUAUUACUUGUAUAAAUAUCUUGUAAAUCCUACACUUUUAUAAUUGAAUAAGCAGAUCACAAUUCUUUUAUCUCUAA